rfam:Otolemur garnettii contig120224, whole genome shotgun sequence.
GCUGGACGCAGUGGCACAGACCUGUAAUCCAGCAACUCAGGAGACUGAGGCAGGAGGAUUAUUUGACCCCAGGAGUUCUGGGCUAUAGUACACUCUGCUGAUCAGAUGUCCACACUAAGUUCUCAUCAAUAUGGUGACCUUCCAGGAAUUGAAAACUACCAGUUUGCCUAAAGAGGGGUAAACUGGCCCAGGUCAGAAGAAGAGUAGGUCAAAGCUCCCAAGGUGAUCAGUAGUAGAAUCACACCUGUGAAUACUGCACUCCAGCCUGGGUAACACAGUGAGACCCUGGGUCCU